rnacentral:rRNA from 1 species
CCUUCGGGUUGUAAAGCUCUUUUGUCAGGGAAGAAACGGUCUUGGAUAAUACCUGGGGCUAAUGACGGUACCUGAAGAAUAAGCACCGGCUAACUACGUGC